UCCAGCCGGUUCAAGGGCUUGUCGCGCCGUGU
rnacentral:piRNA from 1 species